UCGGGAAUAUUGCGCAAUGGAGGAAACUCUGACGCAGUGACGCCGCGUAUAGGAAGAAGGUUUUCGGAUUGUAAACUAUUGUCGUUAGGGAAGAAAAAAGACAGUACCUAAGGAGGAAGCUCCGGCUAACUACGUGCCAGCAGCCGCGGUAAUACGUAGGGAGCAAGCGUUAUCCGGAAUGAUUGGGUGUAAAGGGUGCGUAGACGGGAGUCUAAGUUAGUUGUGAAAUCCCUCGGCUUAACUGAGGAACUGCAACUAAAACUGGAUUUCUUGAGUGCAGGAGAGGAAAGUGGAAUUCCUAGUGUAGCGGUGAAAUGCGUAGAUAUUAGGAGGAACACCAGUGGCGAAGGCGGCUUUCUGGACUGUAACUGACGUUGAGGCACGAAAGUGUGGGGAGCAAACAGG
rnacentral:rRNA from 1 species